rnacentral:rRNA from 1 species
GACAGAGGGUGCAAACGUUGUUCGGAAUUACUGGGCGUAAAGCGCGUGUAGGCUGUCUCGCAAGUCGGGUGUGAAAGCCCUGGGCUCAACCUAGGAAGUGCACUCGAAACUGCGAGACUUGAGUCCUGGAGAGGAAGGCGGAAUUCUCGGUGUAGAGGUGAAAUUCGUAGAUAUCGAGAGGAACACCGGUGGCGAAGGCGGCCUUCUGGACAGUGACUGACGCUGAGACGCGAAAGCGUGGGGAGCGAACAGG